rnacentral:sRNA from 1 species
CGUGCGCAGAUCAGGGGUCGCGAUUGCGAAUCCUCUGCUGCGGUGAUUCGGGUUUCCCUAGAACGUUGAGGGCGCAAGUCGGGUCCUGAGACCAGGUCCUCAGCCAGCAGAGCCACGUUCCUUAUGAGCACUGCGGGUUUAUUUCAUUUUCCUACACCACUGACCCGAAUAUGCCCGGCGCCAUGGGGACUCCGGCUUUGGGAGAAGCUGACGUUGUUAUCCCCAGGAAUAGCUGUCACUCCAGUCCAGAUGGCAGGCAAGAAGGACUACCCUGCACUGCUUUACUUGGAUGAGAAUGAACUCGAAGAGCAGUUUGUGAAAGGACACGGUCCAGGGGGCCAGGCAACCAACAAAACCAGCAACUGCGUGGUGCUGAAGCACAUCCCCUCGGGCAUCGUUGUAAAGGUAGAUCACAGAAGGCCGCUGAGGGGAGAGGCCCCGCCCAAGGGUUCCACAGCCUCCAGAGAUUUCUCCCAAGUGUGAAUGGGAUCAGCUGAAGUGCAUUAUUUUUCUGGCUCGGGCCACCCUCUACCAGCCAAGCAGUAGAGGGCACCGCAGAUCUCAUCCCAUCCCUGAGCCAUUCCUCCCUAAGGCAGAACCUCCUACAACAGCCUGGGAAGCCUGCUUCCAGGAUCUUUUGGAGCCAGGUGCCAUCAGACAAGAUCAGUUGAUCAGAACAGAAAGCUGGCUCGGAAAAUCCUACAAGAGAAAGUAGAUGUUUUCUACA